GCUGGCGGCAGGCCUAACACAUGCAAGUCGAACGGAGUUAUAUUGUAGCUUGCUAUGGUAUAACUUAGUGGCAGACGGGUGAGUAAUGUAUAGGAAUCUACCUAGUAGUACGGAAUAAUUGUUGGAAACGGCAACUAAUACCGUAUACGCCCUACGGGGGAAAAAUUUAUUGCUAUUAGAUGAGCCUAUAUUAGAUUAGCUAGUUGGUGGAGUAAUAGCCUACCAAGGCAAUGAUCUAUAGCUGAUCUGAGAGGAUGAUCAGCCACACUGGAACUGAGAUACGGUCCAGACUCCUACGGGAGGCAGCAGUGGGGAAUAUUGGACAAUGGGCGAAAGCCUGAUCCAGCCAUGCCGCAUGAGUGAAGAAGGCCUUUGGGUUGUAAAGCUCUUUUAGUGAGGAAGAUAAUGACGGUACUCACAGAAGAAGUCCUGGCUAACUCCGUGCCAGCAGCCGCGGUAAUACGGAGAGGGCUAGCGUUAUUCGGAAUUAUUGGGCGUAAAGGGCGCGUAGGCGGAUUAGUAAGUUAAAAGUGAAAUCCCAAGGCUCAACCUUGGAAUUGCUUUUAAAACUGCUAAUCUAGAGAUUGAAAGAGGAUAGAGGAAUUCCUAGUGUAGAGGUGAAAUUCGUAAAUAUUAGGAGGAACACCAGUGGCGAAGGCGUCUAUCUGGUUCAAAUCUGACGCUGAGGCGCGAAGGCGUGGGGAGCAAACAGGAUUAGAUACCCUGGUAGUCCACGCUGUAAACGAUGAAUGUUAAAUAUGGGAAGUUUUACUUUCUGUAUU
rnacentral:rRNA from 1 species